rnacentral:rRNA from 1 species
GACGAACGCUGGCGGCGUGCCUAAUACAUGCAAGUAGAACGCUGAAGAGAGGAGCUUGCUCUUCUUGGAUGAGUUGCGAACGGGUGAGUAACGCGUAGGUAACCUGCCUGGUAGCGGGGGAUAACUAUUGGAAACGAUAGCUAAUACCGCAUAAAAUGGAUUAUCGCAUGAUAAUCCAUUGAAAGGUGCAAAUGCAUCACUACCAGAUGGACCUGCGUUGUAUUAGCUAGUUGGUGGGGUAACGGCUCACCAAGGCGACGAUACAUAGCCGACCUGAGAGGGUGAUCGGCCACACUGGGACUGAGACACGGCCCAGACUCCUACGGGAGGCAGCAGUAGGGAAUCUUCGGCAAUGGACGGAAGGCUGACCGAGCAACGCCGCGUGAGGGAAGAAGGUUUUCGGAUCGUAAAGCUCUGUUGUAAGAGAAGAACGAGUGGGGGAGUGGAAAGUUCACACUGUGACGGUAUCUAACCAGAAAGGGACGGCUAACUACGUG